CUUGGUACAUUAAAAUUUGAAAUGUACUUUGAAGGUUUUGGCACUUACGUAUCCUCGCAGGAGGACAAUAAUUUUACAGUACCUUAACCCCCUUUGUGGAUAACAAUCUAAGUCACUUGUCUAAACUACCAAUCUUAACAAUAUAUCUAUUUACAAAACACAUUAAUCAAAAUUCAUCAAUUAAAUCAAUUUCUUUAAAAAAAACAAUAA